GCAAGUCGAGCGAACAGAUAAGGAGCUUGCUCCUUUGACGUUAGCGGCGGACGGGUGAGUAACACGUGGGUAACCUACCUAUAAGACUGGGAUAACUUCGGGAAACCGGAGCUAAUACCGGAUAAUAUUUCGAACCGCAUGGUUCGAUAGUGAAAGAUGGUUUUGCUAUCACUUAUAGAUGGACCCGCGCCGUAUUAGCUAGUUGGUAAGGUAACGGCUUACCAAGGCGACGAUACGUAGCCGACCUGAGAGGGUGAUCGGCCACACUGGAACUGAGACACGGUCCAGACUCCUACGGGAGGCAGCAGUAGGGAAUCUUCCGCAAUGGGCGAAAGCCUGACGGAGCAACGCCGCGUGAGUGAUGAAGGUCUUCGGAUCGUAAAACUCUGUUAUUAGGGAAGACACAUACCGCUGUAAG
rnacentral:rRNA from 1 species